CCGAAGGGCGGCGGCGCCAUCUCGCGGCCGGCGGCGGCACCGCGGGCCCGGCCCGGCCCUGGGGAACCGCGGGGUUGACCUUCGCUCUGGGAAGUGUGGACAGAACCGUAAAAAAAAAAAAAAAAAAUCAAAACAAACCCCAAACAAGACAAAGGCGGUGCGUGGAAAUGAUCGCCGGUAGCAGCGGCACAGUUCAAAAGCCCCACAGGGCUCAUGUGCGACUGAUGAUGAGGGGAGGCGGAAGAAAAGGUCUCUCUUUGGAAGGCGGAUCCACUUCAAAGCUGUGGCGAUUUGAGGACUGACUGCCAAAGCACAGGGAGCCGUGCAGGGAAGCAGACAAUAGCCAGGCAAGGCUGGCCUUUCAGGCAGCGCUGCAGGAAUGAAAGAA